GCAGGCUUGUGUGUGUGUGUGUGUGUGUGUGUGUAUUCACCAAGCCUGGCUCGCUGGGCUGGCCCAC
rnacentral:miRNA from 1 species